rnacentral:rRNA from 1 species
CCUACGGGCGGCAGCAGUGAGGAAUAUUGGUCAAUGGUCGGGAGACUGAACCAGCCAAGCCGCGUGAGGGAUGAAGGUACAGAGUAUCGUAAACCUCUUUUGUCAGGGAACAAAGGCGGGGACGCGUCCCCGGCCGAGUGUACCUGAAGAAAAAGCAUCGGCUAACUCCGUGCCAGCAGCCGCGGUAAUACGGAGGAUGCGAGCGUUAUCCGGAUUUAUUGGGUUUAAAGGGUGCGCAGGCGGUCUGUUAAGUCAGCGGUAAAAGCCCGGGGCUCAACCCCGGCGCGCCGUUGAAACUGGCUGUCUUGAGAUGGAGAGAGGUAUGCGGAAUGCGCGGUGUAGCGGUGAAAUGCAUAGAUAUCGCGCAGAACUCCGAUUGCGAAGGCAGCAUGCCGGCUCCGAUCUGACGCUGAGGCACGAAAGCGUGGGUAUCGAACAGGAUUAGAUACCCGUGUAGUC